rnacentral:rRNA from 1 species
UAAGGAAUAUUGGUCAAUGGACGCAAGUCUGAACCAGCCAUGCCGCGUGGAGGAUGAAGGCCCUCUGGGUUGUAAACUUCUUUUAUCUGGGACGAAACCCAUCCAUUCUUGGGUGAUUGACGGUACCAGAGGAAUAAGCACCGGCUAACUCCGUGCCAGCAGCCGCGGUAAUACGGAGGGUGCAAGCGUUAUCCGGAUUCACUGGGUUUAAAGGGUGCGUAGGCGGGCAGGUAAGUCAGUGGUGAAAUCUCCAAGCUUAACUUGGAAACUGCCGUUGAUACUAUCUGUCUUGAAUACUGUGGAGGUGAGCAGAAUAUGUCAUGUAGCGGUGAAAUGCUUAGAUAUGACAUAGAACACCAAUUGCGAAGGCAGCUCACUACACAGCCAUUGACGCUGAGGCACGAAAGCGUGGGGAUCAAA